rnacentral:rRNA from 1 species
AGAUUGAACGCUGGCGGCAGGCCUAACACAUGCAAGUCGAGCGGUAGAGAGGUGCUUGCACCUCUUGAGAGCGGCGGACGGGUGAGUAAUGCCUAGGAAUCUGCCUAGUGGUGGGGGAUAACGUUCGGAAACGGACGCUAAUACCGCAUACGUCCUACGGGAGAAAGCGGGGGACCUUCGGGCCUCGCGCCAUUAGAUGAGCCUAGGUCGGAUUAGCUAGUUGGUGAGGUAAUGGCUCACCAAGGCGACGAUCCGUAACUGGUCUGAGAGGAUGAUCAGUCACACUGGAACUGAGACACGGUCCAGACUCCUACGGGAGGCAGCAGUGGGGAAUAGUUGGACAAUGGGCGAAAGCCUGAUCCAGCCAUGCCGCGUGUGUGAAGAAGGCCUUGGUUGUAAGCACUUUUGGCUAGGAAGAAACGGCGUGACCCGUAAGUACGGACGUCGACGUGACGGUACC